UCCCCGAUGGCACAAUUGGCUAGCGCGUCAGACUGUUACAACCGAAGCUGGUGUUCGAAGAACUAUGCAAUUGGUUAUCUGGAGGUUGGUGGUUCGAGCCCACCUCGGGGAG
rnacentral:tRNA from 1 species